AUAAAUACGUUGAAAGAGAAUAGUAAAAAGAAGAUGUUUCACAGAGAGUAAGGAGACGGUGAGAGCCUUGCAAACUAUUUUUUUGAACCCGCUCUGGAGUAUAUAACUGAUAAAGUUAUUACGGCUGUAAUCCCGUUAUGAUUAUACAGAGUGAGUCUAUUUGACUAACUAGGGUGGUACCGCGGGUAAAGUUCUCGUCCCUUCU
rnacentral:ncRNA from 1 species